rnacentral:misc_RNA from 1 species
AUACAGCUUAAAAAAAAAAAAAAACACUAUGACCCACCGCCCAAAAACAACACUACACCUAUUAUAUAUAAAUAGUAUUAUUUUUGAUAUGCAAAUGGCUACACCCACCCAAUCCAUUCCAUUUCCUAUAUCUUCUGCUGAUGAGUAUUGUUCUCGUUCUCUCCAAGUACCUCCUGAUUCUCCUCCUGCUGCCGCCUUUCACCAGCCUGCGCCGCAACCAUAGCUGCCGGCUGCAGCAACAAUGCAGUAAACGGCAUGUGCCGAUACUCCAAGUCUAGCCUAGAUGGAGCCAGCGUGAACAUCCCUUGCCCCGGACUGCUUCCCACGGGUUGAACCUUACAGGAAAUGGAGGGCGGAGAGACGGAAAUCGGGGUAGGACCAGCAGUGGUGGAAACGGGUUCUGCAGGGACAGUACCGGUGCCGGUAGCAGCUAUGAUGGAAGGCUCAGCUUGACGGAGAAGCCACUCUAUGAUCUCACCAUCAGAACGGUGGCCGAGUUCUCGGGUCAACUGGAAGAUCCGAGCAGCACAAAGAGCAGGCAUCCGAACCCGCCUGCCCCUGCCAUUGACUUUAGUGUGGCGGUCUUUGGAGAUGGAGAUGGAGGAUUUUCGAGCGUGUUGGGUGGUCUUUGGCUGGGAAUCGGUGGUGGGAACUAUUGAGUUGAGGUUUGGGGUUUCCUGGGAGUGAUUUGAGGUGGGUAAACUAUGAAGGACGAUUUGAGAGUCCAUUUGAGAGUUGAAAGCAGAAAAAAAUAUGGAUUUGUUGG